UAAUAAGUGUUUUAUGGCACUUUUUAAAUCCAUAUCCACCUUGUGUGCAAUGUCAGUCGAUCUUCUUCAUGGAGAUCGACCAAACAUCAACCUUUAUUUUUUAACUCUUUGUCUGAAAAAUAUUAUGAAUAAACAAUCAAAAUA
rnacentral:misc_RNA from 1 species